AGUGAACGCUGGCGGUAGGCCUAACACAUGCAAGUCGAACGGCAGCACAGUAAGAGCUUGCUCUUACGGGUGGCGAGUGGCGGACGGGUGAGGAAUACAUCGGAAUCUACUUUUUCGUGGGGGAUAACGUAGGGAAACUUACGCUAAUACCGCAUACGACCUACGGGUGAAAGCAGGGGAUCUUCGGACCUUGCGCGAUUGAAUGAGCCGAUGUCGGAUUAGCUAGUUGGCGGGGUAAAGGCCCACCAAGGCGACGAUCCGUAGCUGGUCUGAGAGGAUGAUCAGCCACACUGGAACUUGGACACGGUCCAGGCUCCUACGGGAGGCAGCAGUGUGGAAUAUUGGACAAUGGGCGCAAGCCUGAUCCAGCCAUACCGCGUGUGUGAAGAAGGCCUUCGGGUUGUAAAGCCCUUUUGUUGGGAAAGAAAAGCAGCAGGUUAAUACCCCGCUGUUCUGACGGUACCCAAAGAAUAAGCACCGGCUAACUUCGUG
rnacentral:rRNA from 1 species